GAUGAACGCUAGCUACAGGCUUAACACAUGCAAGUCGCGGGGCAGCAUGGGGGUUGCUUGCAAUCCCCGAUGGCGACCGGCGCACGGGUGAGUAACGCGUAUCCAACCUGCCCUUCACCACGGGAUAACCCGGCGAAAGUCGGACUAAUACCGUAUGUUGUCCAUUGACGGCAUCCGAUUUGGACGAAAGGCUUGGCGGUGAGGGAUGGGGAUGCGUCCGAUUAGCCAGACGGCGGGGUAACGGCCCACCGUGGCUACGAUCGGUAGGGGUUCUGAGAGGAAGGGCCCCAAAACUGGAACUGAGACACGGUCCAGACUCCUACGGGAGGCAGCAGUGAGGAAUAUGGGUCAAUGGGCGUAAGCCUGAACCAGCCAAGUAGCGUGCAGGAGGACGGCCCUAUGGGUUGUAAACUGCUUUUAUGCGGGGAUAAAGUGGUCCACGUGUGGGCUUUUGCAGGUACCGCAUGAAUAAGGACCGGCUAAUUCCGUG
rnacentral:rRNA from 1 species